CCGUAACCCUGAUGGAAGUGAUAUCCUUUUUUGUUUUCAACAAUGUAUGAAGAAACAAAAAAGAUUUAACGUACAGCAGGAAAAAGG
rnacentral:sRNA from 1 species